rnacentral:rRNA from 1 species
GACGAACGCUGGCGGCGUGCUUAACACAUGCAAGUCGAACGGAAAGGCCCUGCUUUUGUGGGGUGCUCGAGUGGCGAACGGGUGAGUAACACGUGAGUAACCUGCCCUUGACUUUGGGAUAACUUCAGGAAACUGGGGCUAAUACCGGAUAGGAGCUCCUGCUGCAUGGUGGGGGUUGGAAAGUUUCGGCGGUUGGGGAUGGACUCGCGGCUUAUCAGCUUGUUGGUGGGGUAGUGGCUUACCAAGGCUUUGACGGGUAGCCGGCCUGAGAGGGUGACCGGCCACAUUGGGACUGAGAUACGGCCCAGACUCCUACGGGAGGCAGCAGGGGGGAAUAUUGCACAAUGGGCGGAAGCCUGAUGCAGCAACGCCGCGUGCGGGAUGACGGCCUUCGGGUUUUAAACCGCUUUCGCCUGUGACGAAGCGUGAGUGACGGUAAUGGGUAAAGAAGCACCGGCUAACUACGUG